AUUGUAUCUCAUGCCUUCUUCGUUUCGGGCUUGAUGGGCAUAGUUUAACAGGACUGUAAAUGUGUGCCAUAUUCCGGGUCUGAAACGUGACCGUAGGAUUUGAUUUGUAUAUUACAAUUAUAACAAAACUAUCAAUUAAAAAAAAACCAAUUCAAGUUAUAAAAACCAAAAAAAAAUAUUUCCAAUUACAAAACAACGAUCUUCAAACUAACUGGACUAUUCCAAAUAUACAAUUUGACCAUACAACAAGCAUAAAAAAGAAAUGAAGUUUGUGACAAUUGUCCUAGUUAAUGACCUGGUAGUGUAAGCUACAAAACGAAUAACCGCACGAGAAAAGGCGUGUUUGAAACAAGGCAAAAUUAUCUCUAAAUUUGUGUUUUAAAUUGCUAUUUUCUUCUCACCGAUUAACAUAACACGAAAGAUAUUUGGCACACAUAUGAACCAUGUGUUAUUGAUGUAAUCAGAGUAAAAAUCCCGUGAAAGUAACACGCAAUAAAUUUU
rnacentral:lncRNA from 1 species